rnacentral:rRNA from 1 species
GAGGAGAGCCAGCGGUCUCGGUUCGCCGUGUACUGCUCGAGUUCGAAUCUUACCUUCUGGACGGGAAUGGUGCUCUUCACUGAGUGCCAUCGCUUCUGUGCCAGGACGAUUACCUUGAGAAAAAUAGAGUGUUCAAAGCAGGCAGUUGCUUGAAUACGUUAGCAUGGAAUAAUAAGAUAGGACUUUGGUUCUAUUUUGUUGGUUUUACGGACCAAUGUC